GUUUGUAGGUUGGAUUGUUUGGUUACAAACCGGCUGUGAUGAGGCGCGGGUCCCGGCCCCCAGAUUGUGAUGUCUCAGGGGGCGGUGGGCCGGGUGACGCAACUGGGGGUGGGCCCGUGGGUCCCAGUACCUGGUCCAGGAGGCAGCGUCUCCCUCCCGUCCGGGAUAAGACACCCCCUCCGCGGGUCCCCUGUCCACUCUGGAGAGGCAGCCCCCACUUGGAGGGACCAGGACCCGAGCCCUGCCCAUCCCCGAAUCCUGGGAGCCCUGCGUGGGGAGUGUCGAGGGCCUGGGUCGGGGGGCAAACUAGUGUGGAGACAUUAGAACACUAUUUAAAGAGUGUACAUCUCCUAGUGAAGCAAAUGAUAAACUUUCCCACCUACAAAGUGUGAGAUAUUGGCAAUGUAAAGAUGUGAAGAGAGAUACGGUACUAUGGAGGGAGAGAAAGCCCUGUGUAUGAGAUAUUUGCAACAGCAUUGCAGAUAGAUAGAUACAUAGAUAUAAUUUUUUAACAUUUGGAAUCAAAAGCAAACUUUAUGGCUGAUAGUCCCAGGAAGCUCACGCCUAUAAUCCCAGCACUUUGGGAGGCCGAGGAGGGUGGAUCACCUGAAGUCAGGAGUUCGAGACCAGCCUGGCCAACAUGGUGAAACCUCAUCUCUACUAAAAAUACAAAAAUUAGGCAGGCAUGGUGGUGGGCACCUGUAAUCCCAGCUACUCGGAAGGCUGAGGCAGGACAAUUGCUUGAGCCCAGGAGGCAGAGGUUGCAGUGAGCCAAGAUCGCACCACUGCACUCCAGCCUGGAUGACAGAGCAAGACUCCGUCUCUAAAUAAAUAAAUCAAUAUACAAACAAACAAACAAAUACUAAAGUGUGGCACAGAUAAAAUCCUUGAGCCAGUGCUUUGAGCUGACAUUCCUUACAUGGACAACUCAAUUACAACAGAUUUGUUGUGCAUCUAUUACUGUGCAGCUGACAUUGAUCAAGAACUCAAUAUUUCCCAAAGAUUGGGCCAAGUGCUUUGUAUGUAUUAUCUAAUUUAAUCCUCUCAACAACUCUUCCAAGGAGAUACUGUUAUCAUCCUGAUUUUAUUGAUGAGGAAACUAAGGACAAAAAAGUUCAGUAAUGUCCCCAAGGUCACAUAAGUCAUUAGGUUAGCCAAGAAGUAACUGGAGUCCAGAUGUUUUGCGGAAACCAAGUCUGAUCUUUCUGCUCUGCAGCAGCAGCCUUUGAGGAGAAUAGUUCAAGUUAGAAAUUCACUAAGAAAUACUUUCAGGCAAUUGUUGGUCUUAGGUAAACAAGAUCACAAGGGGCAAGUUUUCCCUAUUAGGCCAGGAGCAAAAUGUCUCUCCGUUGCCCUUUGCAGAAAGGUUUCUUCUGUGUGUGUGAAAUGCUGGGGAGAUUUCUGCCUCUGACCCUUGAGCAUCCCAAACACUGUGGCUGUGCUGGAAAAGUAUGUAUGUUUCCUGCUGUUCAAAUUGAUUUCAACAUGUAGAUUCCAAAACAAAGCAAAAACAAACAAAAAGGCUUUAUCCAAGCCAGCAAAAAGUCCAAAUCCAUCCUUGGUAGCCAGUGUCAACCAAAGAAGACCUCCACCAACUCUUCCCUUCCCACAGGGGCAUGCUGCUCCUCACAUGAAACAGGAGAAUCUCAUUUCUCCUCCCUUGAAAGUGGGCUGUGAUGCAAGACAGGUGAGCCCCAGAAUUGGGGCUUAGCUUGGGAGGGUUCUUGGCUUCAUCUAGGAAAGAAUACAAGGGUGAGCUGGUGGUGUUAAACAGAAACUUUUAUUGAAGCGGCAGUGUACAACAGCAGCAACAAAGGCAUUGCUCCUUGCAGAGCAGGGCUACCCCAUGGGCAGCAUACCCAGAAUAGUGGCUCAGAGGCAGUUCUGCAGUCGCAUUUAUACUCACUUUUAAUUAUAUUGCAAAUUAAGGGACAGUUUGAGCAGAAAUUUCUAGGAAAAGUAUGGUAACCUCUGGAUUGCUGGGUCAUUGCCAUGGAAGGGGGUGGUAACCUUCAGGUGUUGCCACAGCAAUGGUAAACUCACAUGGCAAACUGGUGGGGUGUCUUAUGGGGAAGUGCUUCUGUCCCAGCCUGUUUUAGCUAGUCCUCAGUUUGUUCCGGUAUCUGAGCCCCACCUUCAGAGUCGAGUCCUGCUUCCUACUUCAGCUGGACUUAAUGACUUGCUUGGCUAAGAGAAUGUAGUGGAUGCAAUAUUUGGGGGCCCCUGAGGCUGGGUCAUAGGAAGCCUUGCAGCGUCUGUCCUAGCCUCUUAGAACACUUGCUCUGGUCACAGGCUUCUUCCAUUUAAUCAAUCUGAGAGUGCCAUGCUAUGAGGAAGCCCAGUCAGCAGCAUAUGGGGUGACAUAGGUCCCACCAGCCCCCAACUGCUUGAGCCAUCUCAGCCCAGGAGCCAAGCAGGUGAGUGAAAAACCCACCUCGGACAAGCGCUCAUCUUCAGCCCAGCUGAGCUUUUGGCCUGGCUGGAGCUACAGCCCCAGCUAUCACCUGUAUCACCUGACUGCAACAGCAUGAGAGAUCCCAUACAAGAAUUUCCCAGCAGAGCUCAGUCAACCCCCAAAAUCCUUGGAGAAAAUCCAUUGCGUAGUUUUAAGCUGCUCAGCUCUGUCAUGCGGUACUAGCUAACUAGAGCACGAUCCUCUCCUCUCCAUCUCCACAGCAUCCUGGUCCCGGCCAUGGUCAUCUCUCCCUUAGAUGCCCUCCACCACCACCUACCUGUUUCCUUGUCCCCCAUGGUGGUCUCCGACCUCACUCUCCAGGGUGAUCUUAAAAUGUCAUUGGAGCAUGUCACUCCCUGGCCUCCCCCUGCACAUCUCUUGAAAAUCAGCCUCCUUGCCGUGUUCACAGGGCUUGAGAAAGUUUGACCCCUCAUCUCAUUAGCUCCCCGCUCCUCUUUCAAGCCACCUGUUCCUUUCAGUUCCUCAAAAGAGCUGCUUUAUGUGCAAACCCUAUGACCCAAGAAUUUCACUGGUGGUCUACACUCACUAGAAGUAUACAAAUAUCAGCUGGAUGUGGUGGCUCAUGCCUGUUAACCCCAGCACUUUGGGAGGCCGAGGUGGGUGGAUCAUUUUAGGUCAGGAGUUUGAGACCAGCCUGGCCAACAUGGCGAAAACCCGUCUUCUAUUAAAAAUACAACAAUUAGUUGGGCAUCAUGAUGCAGGCCUGUAAUCCCAGGCCUGAGGCAGGAGGCUGAGGCAGGAGGAUCGUUUGAACCUGGUAGGUUGAGGUUGUAGUGAGCCGAGAUCACGCCACUGUACUCUAGCCUGGGCGACAGAGCGUGACUCCAUCUUGAAAAAAGAAAAAAACAAAGUGUACAAAUAUAUUCCUUGAAAGAUGUGUUCAGGAGUAUUCAUGGCAGUGUUAUUCUCCAUAGCCAACACAGCCCAAAGAUCCAUCAGGAGGAGGAUGGGUAAAUAAUGGAAUACGAUUUAUCAAGAGGAGAAGAAGAGAACAACACGGAUGAGUCUCACAACUCUAACAUGGGGUGAAAGCAGCCAGAUACAAAAUAAUGCACAAUGCAGAGUCCAGUUGAAAAAACGCUACAAAAAUAACACAAUCUGUGAUGAGAAAAGUCAGGAUAGUGGUUAGCCUGGGAGGGAGGUGGGAAAUGGAAGGAGCGUAAGGAGUGCCUCUGGGGUGCUGGUCAUGCUUUGUUUCUCAUAUGGGUCUGGUCGUACAAGCGUGUUAUUCUCUAGGGGGUAGUUCGCCAAUUGUACAUUUUCUGGCUGGAUGUUCAAUAAAGUGUUAAAAAAAAAAAAGUGCUGUCCUAUCUCCUUCCAAAUGACUUUCCUACACACACCUUCCAAAUUCCUCCACCAGGAAUUUACUGCUUUCUCUUAGUCUUCUUCUGGUUGUUCAGAUCUAGCUCAGCCCUCCCCUCCUCGGGGAGCCCUUCCUCUGUUGCAUCAGUUAGUCUUGGCUGUGGGGCGAUCAUACCUACAAGCAAAGCACAGUGACUCAAAGCAGUCUCAUUAAUUAGCUCAUGAUUCUAUGGCUGGCAAUUUGGGCAGUUCUUAUGCUGCUGGGGAGGAUAAUGUGGACCAGUUUUGAGAAAGCAAGACAUGAAGAAAGAGAAUCCUGGUUCAGUGCCCAUCUGGAAAGCUUCAUUCAUGCUGAUCUGAUUUAGUGCGUCG
ensembl:lincRNA